rnacentral:rRNA from 1 species
UAGUCCACGCCCUAAACGAUGUGCACUAGAUCGAGGCGGCUCUGACGUCGUCUCGGCCGAAGCGAAAGCGUUAAGUGCACCGCCUGGGGAGUACGGUCGCAAGGCUAAAACUCAAAGGAAUUGACGGGGGCUCACACGAGCGGUGGAGCAUGUGGCUUAAUUCGAAGCAACGCGAAGAACCUUAUCCUGGACUUGACAUGUAUGGAUUAGCUCUUGGAAACAAGAGUGACACUCUUGAGUGGAACAUACACAGGUGCUGCAUGGCUGUCGUCAGCUCGUGCUGUGAAGUGUCGGGUUAAGUCCCUUAACGAGCGCAACCCCUAUCGUUAGUUGCCAGCGCGUAAUGGCGGGGGACUCUAGCGAGACUGCCGGUGUCAAACCGGAGGAAGGUGGGGAUGACGUCAAGUCAGCAUGGCCCUUAUGUCCAGGGCUGCACACGUGCUACAAUGGUGCAUACAGAGCGACGCGAGGCCGCAAGGCGGAG